rnacentral:rRNA from 1 species
AUUGAACGCUGGCGGCAGGCCUAACACAUGCAAGUCGAGCGGUAGAGAGAAGCUUGCUUCUCUUGAGAGCGGCGGACGGGUGAGUAAAGCCUAGGAAUCUGCCUGGUAGUGGGGGAUAACGUUCGGAAACGGACGCUAAUACCGCAUACGUCCUACGGGAGAAAGCAGGGGACCUUCGGGCCUUGCGCUAUCAGAUGAGCCUAGGUCGGAUUAGCUAGUUGGUGAGGUAAUGGCUCACCAAGGCGACGAUCCGUAACUGGUCUGAGAGGAUGAUCAGUCACACUGGAACUGAGACACGGUCCAGACUCCUACGGGAGGCAGCAGUGGGGAAUAUUGGACAAUGGGCGAAAGCCUGAUCCAGCCAUGCCGCGUGUGUGAAGAAGGUCUUCGGAUUGUAAAGCACUUUAAGUUGGGAGGAAGGGCAUUAACCUAAUACGUUAGUGUUUUGACGUUACCGACAGAAUA